rnacentral:rRNA from 1 species
CACCAGCGCCACAAGUGGCAAUCGCAUAUUGGGCCUAAAGCGUUCGUAGUCGGUUUGAUAAAUCUUUUGUGAAAUUGUUUGGCUUAACCAAACACCGUGCGGGAGACACUGUCUUACUUGAGACCGGGAGGGGCUGGGAGUAUUUCGGAGGGAGCGGUAAAAUGUGAUAAUCUUCGAAGGACUACCUGUGGCGAAGGCGCCCAGCUAGAACGGAUCUGACGAUGAGGGACGAAGGCUAGGGGAGCAAACG